GACGAACGCUGGCGGCGUGCUUAACACAUGCAAGUCGAACGAAGAGCGAUGGAAGCUUGCUUCUAUCAAUCUUAGUGGCGAACGGGUGAGUAACGCGUAAUCAACCUGCCCUUCAGAGGGGGACAACAGUUGGAAACGACUGCUAAUACCGCAUACGAUCUAAUCUCGGCAUCGAGGAUAGAUGAAAGGUGGCCUCUACAUGUAAGCUAUCACUGAAGGAGGGGAUUGCGUCUGAUUAGCUAGUUGGAGGGGUAACGGCCCACCAAGGCGAUGAUCAGUAGCCGGUCUGAGAGGAUGAACGGCCACAUUGGGACUGAGACACGGCCCAGACUCCUACGGGAGGCAGCAGUGGGGAAUCUUCCGCAAUGGACGAAAGUCUGACGGAGCAACGCCGCGUGAGUGAUGACGGCCUUCGGGUUGUAAAGCUCUGUUAAUCGGGACGAAAGGCCUU
rnacentral:rRNA from 1 species